rnacentral:rRNA from 1 species
UACGGAGGGGGCUAGCGUUGUUCGGAAUUACUGGGCGUAAAGCGCACGUAGGCGGAUUGGAAAGUUGGGGGUGAAAUCCCGGGGCUCAACCCCGGAAUUGCCUUCAAAACUCCCAGUCUGGAGGUCGAGAGAGGUGAGUGGAAUUCCGAGUGUGAGAGGUGAAAUUCGUAGAUAUUCGGAGGAACACCAGUGGCGAAGGCGGCCUCACUGGACUCGAUACUGACGCUGAGGCACGAAGCGUGGGAGCAACAG